UCUCCCUCCACCAUUCACAUGGUCUAGGUCUUGGCCUCACUCCAGGCUCAGGCUUUUUUUCUUUGAUUCCAUUUUCUCUUCUUGUUUUCAAAUCAUUUUUUAUCCACAUCCCUUGACUAUAAUGCUUUCAACUUUACCAGUAUGGACCUAAAUCUGGUCCCAAUGCCCCUGACCCUAAAUCUAUAUGACCACAAUUUUCAGUGUAUGUCCAGGCUGACUGUAUGUUAAUGCGGCCGGUGUUAGGUUAACACAGUAUGGGUUUGAUUUCUCUGAAGCCCUGGAAGCAUGCUAAACACUAACUCUCAAAGCUAAUAGGAUGGCAUGUGCUGACAAAUGAAGUAUUGUUUCUGAAUAUAUGUUUGCAAGGAAGUUUAAAUUCAGCUUGCUAAAGAACUGAAUUUAAGAAGAAGUUUAAGAAGAAAGAACUGAGGAGUCUCCCUGGUGCACAGAGAAGAAUAUGGAAGUCCAAGAAGAUGAAUCCAGAGCCCAUGUCAGCAUUUUGUAAUUACUAAACCAGAAAAGAGGACACAACAAGAAGUUGGCAGUCUGCAACCUGGAGGAAGGUCCUUACCAGAAACUGACUAUGCUGGCACCUUGAUGUUGGACUUCUCAGCUUCCAGAAUUGUGA